GGGUUGUGAGGUUAAGCGACUAAGCGUACACGGUGGAUGCCCUGGCAGUCAGAGGCGAUGAAGGACGUGCUAAUCUGCGAUAAGCGUCGGUAAGGUGAUAUGAACCGUUAUAACCGGCGAUUUCCGAAUGGGGAAACCCAGUGUGUUUCGACACACUAUCAUUAACUGAAUCCAUAGGUUAAUGAGGCGAACCGGGGGAACUGAAACAUCUAAGUACCCCGAGGAAAAGAAAUCAACCGAGAUUCCCCCAGUAGCGGCGAGCGAACGGGGAGCAGCCCAGAGCCUGAAUCAGUGUGUGUGUUAGUGGAAGCGUCUGGAAAGGCGCGCGAUACAGGGUGACAGCCCCGUACACAAAAAUGCACAUGCUGUGAGCUCGAUGAGUAGGGCGGGACACGUGGUAUCCUGUCUGAAUAUGGGGGGACCAUCCUCCAAGGCUAAAUACUCCUGACUGACCGAUAGUGAACCAGUACCGUGAGGGAAAGGCGAAAAGAACCCCGGCGAGGGGAGUGAAAAAGAACCUGAAACCGUGUACGUACAAGCAGUGGGAGCACGCUUAGGCGUGUGACUGCGUACCUUUUGUAUAAUGGGUCAGCGACUUAUAUUCUGUAGCAAGGUUAACCGAAUAGGGGAGCCGAAGGGAAACCGAGUCUUAACUGGGCGUUAAGUUGCAGGGUAUAGACCCGAAACCCGGUGAUCUAGCCAUGGGCAGGUUGAAGGUUGGGUAACACUAACUGGAGGACCGAACCGACUAAUGUUGAAAAAUUAGCGGAUGACUUGUGGCUGGGGGUGAAAGGCCAAUCAAACCGGGAGAUAGCUGGUUCUCCCCGAAAGCUAUUUAGGUAGCGCCUCGUGAAUUCAUCUCCGGGGGUAGAGCACUGUUUCGGCAAGGGGGUCAUCCCGACUUACCAACCCGAUGCAAACUGCGAAUACCGGAGAAUGUUAUCACGGGAGACACACGGCGGGUGCUAACGUCCGUCGUGAAGAGGGAAACAACCCAGACCGCCAGCUAAGGUCCCAAAGUCAUGGUUAAGUGGGAAACGAUGUGGGAAGGCCCAGACAGCCAGGAUGUUGGCUUAGAAGCAGCCAUCAUUUAAAGAAAGCGUAAUAGCUCACUGGUCGAGUCGGCCUGCGCGGAAGAUGUAACGGGGCUAAACCAUGCACCGAAGCUGCGGCAGCGACGCUGAUGCGUUGUUGGGUAGGGGAGCGUUCUGUAAGCCUGCGAAGGUGUGCUGUGAGGCAUGCUGGAGGUAUCAGAAGUGCGAAUGCUGACAUAAGUAACGAUAAAGCGGGUGAAAAGCCCGCUCGCCGGAAGACCAAGGGUUCCUGUCCAACGUUAAUCGGGGCAGGGUGAGUCGACCCCUAAGGCGAGGCCGAAAGGCGUAGUCGAUGGGAAACAGGUUAAUAUUCCUGUACUUGGUGUUACUGCGAAGGGGGGACGGAGAAGGCUAUGUUGGCCGGGCGACGGUUGUCCCGGUUUAAGCGUGUAGGCUGGUUUUCCAGGCAAAUCCGGAAAAUCAAGGCUGAGGCGUGAUGACGAGGCACUACGGUGCUGAAGCAACAAAUGCCCUGCUUCCAGGAAAAGCCUCUAAGCAUCAGGUAACAUCAAAUCGUACCCCAAACCGACACAGGUGGUCAGGUAGAGAAUACCAAGGCGCUUGAGAGAACUCGGGUGAAGGAACUAGGCAAAAUGGUGCCGUAACUUCGGGAGAAGGCACGCUGAUAUGUAGGUGAAGUCCCUUGCGGAUGGAGCUGAAAUCAGUCGAAGAUACCAGCUGGCUGCAACUGUUUAUUAAAAACACAGCACUGUGCAAACACGAAAGUGGACGUAUACGGUGUGACGCCUGCCCGGUGCCGGAAGGUUAAUUGAUGGGGUUAGCCGCAAGGCGAAGCUCUUGAUCGAAGCCCCGGUAAACGGCGGCCGUAACUAUAACGGUCCUAAGGUAGCGAAAUUCCUUGUCGGGUAAGUUCCGACCUGCACGAAUGGCGUAAUGAUGGCCAGGCUGUCUCCACCCGAGACUCAGUGAAAUUGAACUCGCUGUGAAGAUGCAGUGUACCCGCGGCAAGACGGAAAGACCCCGUGAACCUUUACUAUAGCUUGACACUGAACAUUGAGCCUUGAUGUGUAGGAUAGGUGGGAGGCUUAGAAGUGUGGACGCCAGUCUGCAUGGAGCCGACCUUGAAAUACCACCCUUUAAUGUUUGAUGUUCUAACGUUGACCCGUAAUCCGGGUUGCGGACAGUGUCUGGUGGGUAGUUUGACUGGGGCGGUCUCCUCCUAAAGAGUAACGGAGGAGCACGAAGGUUGGCUAAUCCUGGUCGGACAUCAGGAGGUUAGUGCAAUGGCAUAAGCCAGCUUGACUGCGAGCGUGACGGCGCGAGCAGGUGCGAAAGCAGGUCAUAGUGAUCCGGUGGUUCUGAAUGGAAGGGCCAUCGCUCAACGGAUAAAAGGUACUCCGGGGAUAACAGGCUGAUACCGCCCAAGAGUUCAUAUCGACGGCGGUGUUUGGCACCUCGAUGUCGGCUCAUCACAUCCUGGGGCUGAAGUAGGUCCCAAGGGUAUGGCUGUUCGCCAUUUAAAGUGGUACGCGAGCUGGGUUUAGAACGUCGUGAGACAGUUCGGUCCCUAUCUGCCGUGGGCGCUGGAGAACUGAGGGGGGCUGCUCCUAGUACGAGAGGACCGGAGUGGACGCAUCACUGGUGUUCGGGUUGUCAUGCCAAUGGCACUGCCCGGUAGCUAAAUGCGGAAGAGAUAAGUGCUGAAAGCAUCUAAGCACGAAACUUGCCCCGAGAUGAGUUCUCCCUGACCCUUUAAGGGUCCUGAAGGAACGUUGAAGACGACGACGUUGAUAGGCCGGGUGUGUAAGCGCAGCGAUGCGUUGAGCUAACCGGUACUAAUGAACCGUGAGGCUUAACCUUACAACGCCGAAGCUGUU
rnacentral:rRNA from 1 species